rnacentral:rRNA from 1 species
GAGUUUGAUCCUGGCUCAGAUUGAACGCUGGCGGCAUGCCUUACACAUGCAAGUCGAACGGCAGCACGGGAGCAAUCCUGGUGGCGAGUGGCGAACGGGUGAGUAAUAUAUCGGAACGUGCCCAGUCGUGGGGGAUAACGUAGCGAAAGCUACGCUAAUACCGCAUACGAUCUAUGGAUGAAAGCGGGGGAUCGCAAGACCUCGCGCGAUUGGAGCGGCCGAUAUCAGAUUAGGUAGUUGGUGAGGUAAAGGCUCACCAAGCCGACGAUCUGUAGCUGGUCUGAGAGGACGACCAGCCACACUGGGACUGAGACACGGCCCAGACUCCUACGGGAGGCAGCAGUGGGGAAUUUUGGGCAAUGGGCGCAAGCCUGAUCCAGCAAUGCCGCGUGCAGGAUGAAGGCCUUCGGGUUGUAAACUGCUUUUGUACGGAACGAAACGGUGAGCUCUAAUACAGUUUGUUAAUGACGGUACCGUAAGAAUAAGCACCGGCUAACUACGUGCCAGCAGCCGCGGUAAUACGUAGGGUGCGAGCGUUAAUCGGAAUUACUGGGCGUAAAGCGUGCGCAGGCGGUUAUAUAAGACAGAUGUGAAAUCCCCGGGCUCAACCUGGGACCUGCAUUUGUGACUGUAUAGCUAGAGUACGGUAGAGGGGGAUGGAAUUCCGCGUGUA